AGUGAACGCUGGCGGUAGGCCUAACACAAGCAAGUCGAACGGCAGCACAGUAAGAGCUUGCUCUUACGGGUGGCGAGUGGCGGACGGGUGAGGAAUACAUCGGAAUCUACUUUUUCGUGGGGGAUAACGUAGGGAAACUUACGCUAAUACCGCAUACGACCUACGGGUGAAAGCAGGGGAUCUUCGGACCUUGCGCGAUUGAAUGAGCCGAUGUCGGAUUAGCUAGUUGGCGGGGUAAAGGCCCACCAAGGCGACGAUCCGUAGCUGGUCUGAGAGGAUGAUCAGCCACACUGGAACUGAGACACGGUCCAGACUCCUACGGGAGGCAGCAGUGGGGAAUAUUGGACAAUGGGCGCAAGCCUGAUCCAGCCAUACCGCGUGGGUGAAGAAGGCCUUCGGGUUGUAAAGCCCUUUUGUUGGGAAAGAAAAGCAGCAGGUUAAUACCCCGCUGCUCUGACGGUACCCAAAGAAUAAGCACCGGCUAACUUCGUG
rnacentral:rRNA from 1 species